CAGAAAGAGCAGAGGCAGAGCUAUGCUUGGAUACAUGAACGAAAACCGAAAUAUCGGGUGAUGGAGUUGACGUUUGCAUCUCGGACUUCGAAUCACUCAGCGGCAUCAGCGACGGCGACGGCAACCUCGACGGCUUCUUUUAGUGGGAGGAUUGGCGCUUUCUUGAGAAUCAGUGAAUUUCCAGUGAGAAAGAGGAGAUUGAGCUUGAGUGAUGGAGGCAUUAAUAGAGUUCAACUUCGGUGCGCUAAAGUGUCUUCGGAGAGAAGCAGUGAAGGGAUAGAAGAACGAAACAGUACGAGGGGAGGAGGAGGGUUCACAGGAAGUGCGAUGGAAGUGACCACAUUUGAUCGGAGCUUUAGCGACACUGAGUUCCCUGUUUGGGAGAAGAUUGGCGCUGUGGUUAGACUUAGCUAUGGAAUCGGUAUAUAUGGUGCCAUGGCUUUAGCAGGACGGUUCUUAUGCUCAAUCACUGGAAUAGAUAGCAUGGGAGGUUUUGAAGUAUCUAUAGAUGCCAUUGUUGAAGGGCUUGGAUAUGCAUCUCCACCAAUUAUGGCGCUUCUUUUUAUAUUGGAUGAUGAAGUUGUGAAGCUAUCACCUCAUGCUCGAGCUAUCAGAGAUGUGGAAGAUGAAGAACUUCGGAGUUUCUUUUAUGGGAUGUCACCUUGGCAGUUUAUACUGAUUGUUGUUGCAAGUUCUGUGGGAGAAGAGCUUUUCUACCGAGCUGCUGUUCAGGGAGCAUUGGCUGAUGUAUUCAUAAGGGGCACCAAUUUGGUGACAGAUGCUCGAGGAAUGGCAUCUCUGACUGGUGUGCUGCCUCCAUUUGUUCCAUUUGCUCAGGCAUUUGCGGCUGUAUUGACAGCUGCUCUUACAGGUUCUCUGUAUUAUGUGGCCGCCUCCCCAAAAGAUCCUGCUUAUGUAGUUGCACCAGUUUUGCAAUCUCAGUCUGGCCGCGAAGAUCUGAAAAAGCUCUUUGCAGCAUGGUAUGAGAGGAGGCAAAUGAAAAAGAUCUAUUCUCCCCUCUUAGAAGGACUUUUGGCUCUCUAUCUUGGUUUUGAAUGGAUCCAGACAAAUAAUAUUCUUGUACCGAUUAUUACACAUGGCAUAUAUUCAGCCGUUGUAUUGGGACAUGGCCUUUGGAAGAUACACGAUCACCGCAGAAGACUACACCAGAGAAUCCGGCAGCUAAAACUAGAUGAAAUAAACCCUAAGUAGAGCAUGAAAGAGCUGUUAAUGGAGUAAAUGGCAACGAAACUUGUAUACUACAUGUUGAGAUAAUUAUUUGUUAUGAGAGACGGUAUCGAAGUUUGUAUAAUGUAGAAGUACACUGUAUAGUAGUAGUUU
rnacentral:misc_RNA from 1 species